rnacentral:rRNA from 1 species
CGGACGGGUGAGUAACACGUGGAUAACCUACCUAUAAGACUGGGAUAACUUCGGGAAACCGGAGCUAAUACCGGAUAAUAUAUUGAACCGCAUGGUUCAAUAGUGAAAGACGGUUUUGCUGUCACUUAUAGAUGGAUCCGCGCCGCAUUAGCUAGUUGGUAAGGUAACGGCUUGCCAAGGCAACGAUGCGUAGCCGACCUGAGAGGGUGAUCGGCCACACUGGAACUGAGACACGGUCCAGACUCCUACGGGAGGCAGCAGCC